UACAGAGGGGGCAAGCGUUAUUCGGAAUUACUGGGCGUAAAGCGCACGUAGGCGGUUUGUUAAGUCGGGGGUGAAAUCCUGGAGCUCAACUCCAGAACUGCCUUCGAUACUGGCGAUCUCGAGUUCGGGAGAGGUGAGUGGAACUGCGAGUGUAGAGGUGAAAUUCGUAGAUAUUCGCAAGAACACCAGUGGCGAAGGCGGCUCACUGGCCCGAUACUGACGCUGAGGUGCGAAAGCGUGGGGAGCAAACAGG
rnacentral:rRNA from 1 species